rnacentral:tRNA from 1 species
UCUCCAGUGGCGCAGUUGGUUAGCGCAUGGUACUUAUAAGACAGUAACUUAAUGUGCAAACAAGUCUUAAACAGUAAUAAAGAUAUGCCGAGGUCGCGAGUUCGAGCCUCGCCUGGAGAA